GGGGGGGGGGGAACAUAACAAACUGCUUUUCCUUGGGAUGAGAAUGGGAGACCUAAUCCAGAAUGAAAUGUGCAAUCGUUUUUCCUGAGUGUAAAAGACUUGUUAUGAUUUUUUAUGAUGACUUCAGAAAUUCAGGUGUGCUACACCCGAUAGUAAUUAAAAAUCCAUGACAUGCCAAGGAAGAAAACAAACAUCUUUCCAUCAAACACACCUCUAAAUAACUCCUCCCAAUACCCUCACCCUGUUGGGAAGGAGCCUGUACCUUUUCUGGUUUCUUCCCAGAUAAGCUGAGCAACUGCAGGUGUAGCCACUGGUGUGCGGGCAGUGGGAAGCACGCUCUGGGCUGAUGGCAAAGGCUGCCUCUGCAAUGUGGGUGACUUCACUUGAGAAUGGAUCGCAUCCUCCUGCUUACCUGGGUCCCCUCUGGCAUCAUGGCACCAACGUCCAGUGUCCUGGGACAGCAGAUGUUGUCCUCAGAUUCUCCCGGUAAGUCCUGCAGCUCUGUGGUCUCAUCAUAGCCUGUUCACAUCAACACAUGAUGGACAAUGCAGUCACCCUUCCACCCUCCUCCCAUCACUGACAGGCCAAGGAGCCCCUCUUGGAUACAAGCUGCUUUCAGAUGAAUCUUCCUUCAAAAUCAGCCCAUUAAUUCUUACCAGCAGCACAGUAGCUGAGGAAGUUUUUCUUUUUGUUGCCAUUUUUAUUCCCAUGAGAACAAGGGCCUGAACUCAAUAUGAAUCAAUGAGAUUGCUGUAGGAGUGUAUUCAUUCAAACAUGGCAAGACUUUAAAACAGAAUUUAAAAAUUAAAACAUUGUAAUAUGUUCAUUUCUGCUUUUAAAUCACUGAAAAUCAGAAUCUCUCCGAAAAGGGAAAGUGAACCUAGCAACUGAAGAAAGGGGAAAUUAAGGUAAAAACAAACAGGACAGCUUGAUAACAAGUGCAUGAUAAACAGUCGUUUUACUAAAAAGGAGACUUUUCAGAUAUUUCCAUGACAUGCUGUUGCCACUUGAAAUGUGGUGCCUUCUGGUGCUGUCUCAGAAUAUCUGGCAGAACAUGUUGUAUGUAAUCAGAUGCUAUUUUUUCAAUGUAUGAUUUUUUUUUAAACCCUGUCUUCUCUG
ensembl:lncRNA